GACGUAGGGUGCAAGCGUUGUCCGGAUUUACUGGGCGUAAAGAGCGCGUAGGCGGUCUGUUAAGUGAGAAGUGAAAUCUUCAGGGCUCAACCCGAAAAUUGCUUUUCAUACUGGCAGACUGGAGGAAUGCAGAGGUAUGUGGAAUUCCAGGUGUAGCGGUGAAAUGCGUUGAUAUCUGGAGGAACACCCAUGGCGAAGGCAGCAUACUGGGCAUUAUCUGACGCUGAGGCGCGAAAGCGUGGGUAGCAAACAGG
rnacentral:rRNA from 1 species